GCCUGACUAUCGGAUCAGAAGUUUAUAACUUUAUCGGACCUCAGUAUCUACCUAGCGAGUGAAAUUGUUCCAAUCUCAUUUCACGACAGUAGACACCAGCACCAGCACGUCCCUCCAUAGGAGAACCGUCAGUGUAAAAGACCACUUGCGUUUGUUGCUAUCUCUCCAUAUAGCCAGACAACCACUCCUCUCGAGAGGAGAUGGUUUAGCUUUGGCUGGACUAUCAUCGCCUCUCCCCUCUGCCACCACACAAGGCAUCCGUAUGACAGUAUUGGGCAUACAAUUGUCGUGUAAAUCCAAUAGAUGUAUUUAGGUUUGUGACUCCAGGUCUUUCUAAAAGGUCGUCUGCACUGCCCGAAGGUCAUGCACACUUUCUGGACUCUGAACUCAAUGUGAGCAGACCAAUUAAGUUUGGAAUCCAAUAUAACUCCAACGUAUAUGACUUGAUCUGCACACUAGCUCAGAAUCAAAGAACUGCAAGGAAAGAACCCCGGUUGUUAUUCGCUUCUUCGUGAAAAGAACCAAUGAAGUUUUGUUUGGAUUUAUUGAUAAUUUAAUUUGUCGACACCACUGUUCGACAGCUCUUAAUGCUUGUUGCAUUAUGUCAAAGAUUGUUACGAUGCAAAGUUUAGUAAUUAGUAUUUGGUAAUCAUCAGCAAUCUCGUAGGUUGGAAAUCCAACCUCAUUGAGUUUCUUCAACAAGCCGUCGGCAACCAGGUUCCAUAGCACAGGUGACAGAACGCCACCCUGAGGACAGCCGCAAAUACUCAAUUUCCUUAUCUCUGCCUGUCUCAGUAGCGCGAGCUUAUCAUUUACUAGUAAACAAGGACAACAAAAAGAUAAAUAAGGCAUAUGAAUUAACGCUAACAUGAAAAAACACCGCGAAAGUUAGAGGAAUUCAAAGUACGGUCACUGAAGAGGAACUCCGACCGCCACUCACCCCAGUUGGUCUGGGUUCAAUCCCAGCCGAGGUCGUUAAGAUUUUUCUGAAGUGAAAAAAAAUCUGUGGUCACGCCUUCCUUCGGAAGGGAAGUAAAGCCGUUGGUUUCCGGUCCUUUAGUUAAUGGAUCCAUAUCUAGUCCAGAUAGUGGGAGUCACCUCUCUUGGCGUCGGUGUUCGGGCUUGUAGCGGCAAUAGGCCGACGGAAAAUAACUAGAACUAGAAGAAGAAGAGGAACUCCGAGGCUAGAUAGAGAACCUGCGAACGACCACCUCCGCCUCGAUUCUGAAAAUGGUCUGUCACACGCGGCACAAACCCUGCAACAUAAACGCCCUCAGAGUAGUACUAGCAUACUGCCUAUCCUGGACAGUUCCAAGGAACAAUCGGGUCAUCAGCUCCCAAGAUACUUUGAAAGCAACAUCGAUCUCAUUUCAGUAAACGGGCUAGAAAUCAUCAGCCGAACAAUACACAGUAAUUUAAAAUAAAACAACCGAUGAGGCCUGCCUACAAAGUGAAUGUUGUUUGUGCAGUUCGAAGAUGUUUACAGUCACAUUGAAUUUAGUAAAAAAAUUUGCGAAGUGAAAUAUAUCGGUUAGGUUUGAGGUAAUUUUAUUCACAGUACAAACUAGUAUUCAAAUUGCAAUCAUAAUUUAUUAUCAGACAUGCACGUCUCUUACGUAUGUUUAUCCGGUGCGAGGAUGUGUCGUCUUGAACACGCGUAUCGUAUGGUAAAAUGUAUGUAACCUAAGAAUACUACUAUUAUGAUCUGCGUCGGAAUCUAUCAUCGUCGUCAGCUCAUGCACAAGUAAUUUUGGCAAGAUGUACAACGUAAGCAACAAUGGCGACGGCUCACUAGAACAAGUGAAACCGCAGUGCGAUGAGCUCGAAUUGGACAAUGAAACCGAAAAUUAGAAUGAACAGAACAAGGUUAUGCCCAAGAUCAAUAUAAUACGGUAUAGAAUCAACUCUAUUCUCGCCCCAUCAAUUGGGCUACAGAUAUUCGACGAUGCGAUCAUUUUACUUGACGCAGGCGUAAGCCAUGCACCGAUCGGUGAUAUGAAACGUUUCGAUUGUAAAUCUUGGUCGUUUAACGUAAAAUGGUAUGGAAUUGAUUCGAUCCCCUUACCAUCUACUAUACUAAAAGUAUGUGCUUGAACCGCUACGAGUUGAAUAAGACCUAUUGCCGAUUCGAAAGAUCACGUUGAAUCAGGUGCGAUGCUUUGCGCAACAAAACAUUACGCCAAGUUCCGUAAAAUGGAUAAUGCCAAAAAAAACAAAGUUUAUCCCUGCCGUUAUUAGCGAGAUUAACAGAAAAUUUACCAGAAAGCAACAUUCAUCACAGAUCCAGUGUAAAUCGGAUCGAGUGACUAUUAAUACGUCGCAGUAUGGAUCGUAUAGAUUCGUCAAUUAAUGCGAAUCCGCACCCGCAAGGCAAGUAUACAUUGAUUGGCAUCGAUAUUUAUACGAUUGGUCUCAGUUUACACACCGGUGCAGCAGUACUCGCUGUAUAUUAUACCACUGGUGAAACUGAAUUCGCUUGCGCCACCACUGUCGGUUGUUUCCGAAUGCUGAAAAUCCUAUUAUAGGGAGGUAUCGGCUCUAAACGGAAUCACGAGGAGCACAAAUUCGUAUCUGUUAGAAAUCAACUCUAUCCUCGUCUCACCACCUAAGCCAAGUAAUCGACGCAUCAGUCAUUUUACUAGACGCAAAUGUAGAUUGCAAAUCUGUCGAAUCGGUGGAUGCCUUUUCUACGCGGUAUGUUGGUACGGUCUGGGUGCAACAUCAUUGGUAGUCAGUGGGGGUUUAGUGGAUACGUAAGAAAACCCCCAUUUCACAAUCAAUUUGACUCUCGUGUCACAACUGAAACAAAGUUAUUCGACAAUCCGGUUAUUGGACUUGACACCGAAUGUAAGCCAUUCACUGGUCGACGACAGGAAGUCUCCAUUGCAUACUCGACCAAAUAACGUAAAACUGUAUGUAGUGAACUCGAUCCCCGUACCAUCAAACAGACCAAAGGUAUUUGACGAUCCAGUAGUUCGUUACUGUUAUCGUUGCAAAGAAGCGUGUACAUGCAACGCAGGCAAGAGUCGUAUAACAUUUCAAACAGCACGAUGGUGGACGUUGUUGGUAUUAUGCAGCGGACCAAGUUCGACUUCCGUAUAUGUACCAGCAACCAUCUUCCAGUGAAACGAUAAGCACGGUCGGACGAGAUCCAUUGCCGGUUCGGAAGGUCACGCUUAAUCUAAUCCUGUGCUUUCUGCAGCAAAAAUUACAGCAAAGGACAGUUCCGUAAAAUGGAGAAGAAAAAACAAAUCCCUGCAGCAGAAUUGACAAAGUUUACCAGAAAGCAACAAUUACCACAAAAUAUUGAUGCGUCGCAGUAUCAAUUGACCAGAUUCGCCAAUUCAUACGAAUCCGCUUCCGUAUGGCAAAUAUACAAUGACUUACAUCGAUUUUGAAGAUUGGUCUCAAUAUGCACACCGGAGCAGCAGUAUUCGUAGUGUGCCGCUGAUGAACCUGAAUUCGACUGCGUCACUCGGCUUCUUCCGAAUGCUGAUAAACCUACAAUAUGAUAUUAAACAUCAAGACGGAGGUAUCAUCUCUAAACGAAUUCUUCCACUGGAUGGAAGGAAAACGCUGCGAAGACGAAUGGUCAUCGAGACACUAAAAAGGUAUCAGUUGGACCGGUUUUCUCCAAUGGUCAAAUCGUUUGCCAACGGCUUCCAGCUGGCCGAAGGAAAAGUGAUCCACGACUUUCAAAUAUUUUUCGGUCCGACGACUGAUCCAGUUGUUGCUGGACUAGAGAGCAACGCGGUCUAGUUGACCCGAUUGGUGCAACGACCAGUGACACAAUAUCCGCAACCCCAGAAUAUUGCUGCUGAGAUCUAUUUGGCCUGACAAGGAUGAGCGAUCAGCAUACUACAUAAUAACGUCUCGUUUGUUCUCGGGAAGUGUAUCAUUAUUUAAAAAAAAAAAUAAAAACAGAUUGCAUUAUUUAUUUUAUUUUUUUGAUAAAAAAGAAAACAUCUGAAGUAUAAGAAAAUAAGAAGAAGAGUACCAAAAUAGAGAGCACGACGGCGUCCGAUUCUCCAUAGCUUGACAUCGGAGCUACGUAGCUCUUAUACCGCCUGACGAAUUUGACAACUUCGAAGCCCAACAGUCCGAUUUCGAUGGUGCAAAAUAGCACGAUAUAGUUCUUAUAUAAAGCGCGGUAUAGCUCUUACGUCGGACCUCAUCGGCCUGACCAUCAGCCCGAUCGUCAGGCUGACUCGGCCCGACAAAUUUCAC